ensembl:lncRNA
UGUGCAUCCCACGGGCAGGCUUUGGGUUCCCAGCAUACGGUGGCUGUGGGGACAGUGCUGGCUGUACUGCUGCCCCCUCCCCACAUCCUGGGGAGCUCUGAGGGGAGGGAAGGGGGGGAUGGACGGAUGGACGGACGGAGGGACGGACACGGCUCCAGGAGUGUAGCAGUGACAGUGGGUGGGAGGAGAGGGGAACAUUGGGGAUGUGCUGCUGCUUUAAGGACCCCUCCAACCCAACCACCCUAUGGUUCUGUGGUCUAUAAGGUCUCUUCCAACCCAACCAUAAUGGGAUUCUAUAGUUCUGUGAUCUUCAAGGACCCUUCCAACCCAACCACUGUGAACUUAUAUAGCUCUGUGACCUUCAAGGACCCUUCCAACCCAACCAUUGUGGGAUUCUAUAGUUCUAUGAUCUUUAAGGACCCCUCCAACCCAACCACCCUAUGGUUCUGUGAUCUAUAAGGUCCCUUCCAACCCAACCGUUGUGCAUUUCUAUGGCCCUAUGAUCUUCAAGGACCCUUCCAACCCAACCAUAAUGGGAUUCUAUAGUUCUGUGAUCUUUAAGGACCCUUCCAACCCAAUCAUUUUGCAGUACUAUGGCUCUAUGAUCUUCAAGGACCCUUCCAACCCAACCACUGUGAACUUAUAUAGCUCUGUGAUCUCCAAAGACCCUUCCAACCCAACCAUCCUACUCUUCUAUGGUCUAUAAGGUCCCUUCCAACCCAACCAUAAUGGGAUUCUAUAGUUCUAUGAUCUUCAAGGACCUUUCCAACCCAACCACUGUGAACAUACAUAGCUCUGUGAUCUUCAAAGACCCUUCCAACCCAACCAUUGUGGGAUUCUAUAGUUCUAGGAUCUUUAAGGACCCCUCCAACCCAACCACCCUAUGGUUCUGUGGUCUAUAAGGUCCCUUCCAACCCAACCGUUGUGCAUUUCUAUGGCCCUAUGAUCUUCAAGGACCCUUCCAACCCAACCACUAUGAUUUUAUAUAGUUCUAUGAUCGUCAGAGAUCCUCCCAACCCAACCAUCCUAUUGUUCCAUUGUCUAUAAGAUCCCUUCCAACCCAACCAUUGUGGGAUUCUAUACUUCUAUGAUCUGUAAGGACCCUUCCAACCCAACCAUUGUGAGUUUCUAUGGUUCUAUGAUCUUCAAGGACCCUUCCAACUCAACCACCCUAUGGUUCUUUAUUGUCUUUACGGUCCCUUCCAGCCCAUGAGCCAUGGUUCUGAUUCCACGAUCCUACAAAUCCAUGACCCUAUGAUUCCACCAUGCCACAGUUCUAUGACCCCAUGACCCCAUGUUUCCAUGACCCCACGUUUCCAUGAUCCCGCGCCCCUACAAAUCCAUGAUCCUAUGAGUCUACCUCCAUGAUUCUAUGAUCCCAUGACCCCAUGAUCCCAUGACCCCACGUUUCCAUGAUCCCGUGCCCCUACAAAUCCAUGAUCCUAUGAUCUACCUCCAUGAUUCUACGAUCCCAUGAUCCCAUGAUCCCCAUGUUUCCAUGACCCCACGUUUCCAUGACCCCGCGCCCCUACAAAUCCAUGAUCCUAUGAGUCUACCUCCAUGAUUCUACGAUCCCA